GACGAACGCUGGCGGCGUGCUUAACACAUGCAAGUCGAACGGAAAGGCCCUGCUUUUGUGGGGUGCUCGAGUGGCGAACGGGUGAGUAACACGUGAGUAACCUGCCCUUGACUUUGGGAUAACUUCAGGAAACUGGGGCUAAUACCGGAUAGGAGCUCCUGCUGCAUGGUGGGGGUUGGAAAGUUUCGGCGGUUGGGGAUGGACUCGCGGCUUAUCAGCUUGUUGGUGGGGUAGUGGCUUACCAAGGCUUUGACGGGUAGCCGGCCUGAGGGGGUGACCGGCCACAUUGGGACUGAGAUACGGCCCAGACUCCUACGGGAGGCAGCAGUGGGGAAUAUUGCACAAUGGGCGGAAGCCUGAUGCAGCAACGCCGCGUGCGGGAUGACGGCCUUCGGGUUGUAAACCGCUUUCGCCUGUGACGAAGCGUGGGUGACGGUAAUGGGUAAAGAAGCACCGGCUAACUACGUG
rnacentral:rRNA from 1 species